AAUGAACGCUGGCGGCAGGCCUAAACAUGCAAGUCGAACGCCCUAGCAAUAGGGAGUGGCGCACGGGUGAGUAACAUGUGGGAAUAUGCCUUUUGGUACGGAACAACGUUUGGAAACGAACGCUAAUACCGUAUGGUCCCUCCGGGGUAAAGAUUUAUCGCCAAAAGAUUAGCCCGCACUAGAUUAGCUAGUUGGUAAGGUAAUGGCUUACCAAGGCGACGAUCUAUAGCUGUUCUGAGAGGAAGAUCAGCCACACUGGGACUGAGACACGGCCCAGACUCCUACGGGGGGCAGCAGUUAGGAAUAUUGGACAAUGGGCGCAAGCCUGAUCCAGCCAUGCCGCGUGAGUGAUGAAGGCCUUCGGGUUGUAAAGCUCUUUAGCCGACGAAUAUAAUGACUGUAGUCGGAGAAUAAGCCCCGGCUAACUUCGUGCCAGCCGCCGCAGUAA
rnacentral:rRNA from 1 species